UCUAGUUUAACAUAUUUUAUAAUGUGAGGGGUUGUAAACUCUUUUAAGACUGUUGUCAACUAGGA
rnacentral:tRNA from 1 species